UGUAAGUUGUUUGACAUGCUUCAUACGUACAUUAUGCAGUUGUAGAAUUUAUUUAAAGUCAAGGAAAGGAAAUCUGUAAUCCACAUAAACACAUACCUAUUGAAAACGGGCUUUUGUAAAAAAAAAAAAAAUAAUAAUGAAUGCACUGAUAGUUCUUUUUUUAAUCAGAGGUCUGCAAUGAAAAUCGACCGAUACCCGGGGGUCGGGCUAGUGGUUUUCUGCAAGUAGGUCGCCCCAUUGGCCAGUAAAAAAGAUUAUAUUAUUUAUACACAUGCAAUACAUGCAAAGCACACCUGAGUUCAGAUACCACUGAAAGUGAACAUCAGUGGAACUUUGAUGAUCUAGGCCACUCUAUUGUUGCAGCAACACCAGCAGGCGUCGGACAUUCAUAAAGUUGAAAGAACAAACCUAUGACUUGAACACACAAUUUGUGAUCUGAAUAUAGUUCACAAAUUUAAGGAAAGCAACUAUUAAAGACAUCCAGAUCAAUGGUAUACAUGAAGUAUGAGUUAAAGACUUUUCAGAAGAACAAGCACAAUCCCGAUUCAUUCUUGCCAUUGCCUUCUCCAGACGGCGACAUUCAGGACCU